AAUCUUAAAUGUUGAAUUGCAAAUUCACAAUAAAAUGCUAAGAUUU
rnacentral:tRNA from 1 species